GGAUGUGAGGGCGAUCUGGCUGCGACAUCUGUCACCCCAUUGAUCGCCAGGGUUGAUUCGGCUGAUCUGGCUGGCUAGGCGGGUGUCCCCUUCCUCCCUCACCGCUCCAUGUGCGUCCCUCCCGAAGCUGCGCGCUCGGUCGAAGAGGACGGCCUUCCCCGAAUAAAGACGGACCGGUCUUUGGUCGAGGGUAUACGAGUAGCUGCGCUCCCCUGCUAGAACCUCCAAACAAGCUCUCAAGAAGGGGAAGUUGGGGAAGAAAGGAGAGAAGCAGGGAAGGGCAGGCAGGCAAUGUGGGUAUUGUAAAAGUAAGCAGUUUUAGAUGAAAGGUAAGUUGAAUGU
rnacentral:snRNA from 1 species